AUAAAUGACCCUGAAACUGGAAAGUGCCACCAUGGGCUGUGAUAUCAUUAGAUUCCUCUGAGCCAGCCAGAGGCUGAAGCUGACAGAGCAGCUGCAAAAAGCAGUCCAAGCAGAGACUCACAGACACUGAGGAUCUCAUCAGACUAUUUUCUAUAGAUUUUACUCUGAACAUUCUUUUUCCUGUGCUGAUUGGCUCUUUGCUCCAACCUGUUCUGCCCUCUCCCUUCCUUUGUCUUUCCAUCUAGCUAAUCCCCUCCUUAGGCCUGCUCUGCACUACAAAGUUAGGUUGCAUUGCCUUGCAUUGACCUAGCUGGGUAUGUCUCUACACUUAAAUUUGUCUCCCUCUGAUGUAAGCGCCUUGUAACAGCAAAUCACUAACACGGCUCCCUGAGCAGUGUUGAGCCAUGGACGAUGUACUGCGGUUGAAGCAGCACCUAUGUUGACCCUAACAGUCUCCAAUGGCUGUCCACAAUGUGUAGCACUGACCACUCUGGGCAAAGUUGUGAACUCCACUGCCUAGGGGUCACAGAGACCAGAAGGCCCUUCCUCCUUUAAAGCCCCGCAAAUUUUGAAAUGCAUUUUUCCUGAUUGUCCAGCUUGGUAAGCACACCUAGCAGCUCUCCAUUGUUGUGUGUAACUGUGCUGCUGACCACGGUAGCUACAUGCUCCUGACUUGGAAUAGACCGGAGAUAUUGGAUCUCCUGGGCCUGCGGGGAGAAGAGGCUGUGUAACACAGCUAUGGACCAGCCAUAGAAACGUGGACAUCCAUGAGCAGAUUGCACAGGGGAUGCAGGAAAAGGAGUACGACAGGGGCUAGCAGCAGUGCUGUGUGAAAGCGAAGGAACUGCAUCAGGCAUAUCAGAAGGCCAUGGAGGCAUACAGUCGAUUUGGGGCUGAACCACAGACCUGCUGCUUUUACAAAGAGCUGCAUGCCAUACUUGGUGGAGACACCCCCUCCCCCGCAGACCACUGUGGAUACCUCCGAGGAGCCCAACCACUGCCCUGGCCAUGAACAGCGAGGAUGAGGAAGAUGGGGGAUUUGUGAGUGAGGGUGUCCAGCUAUGCCGUGAGCCAGGACCUGUUUGAGGCUCCACUGCAGUCCACUCAGUCCGGCAGUUGAGCAUGGGCGAGCCCAGUGCGGGGAAUGGAACCUCGGCUGCUGCCAUUGCAGCCUUGAAGGGUUCCCCUUCCACACCUGUGCAACGCCUGAGCAAGAUAAGGAGGACAAAGAAGAGGACUCAGGAUGACAUAUUCAGUGAGAUCCUGCAAGCCAGUGCUGCAUCGAACUGUGAGCAGGGGGCCUAGAGGAUGAAUGUUGCACACUGUAUGGAGAAGGAAAGAGCCGACAGUAGAAAGGCACAGGAGCAUCAUCAGGAAAAGGAGUGAGAAAUGCAUGAGGACAUAACGGGGCUUCUCCAGCAGCAAACACAGAUACUUCAGACUCUUGUGAAUCUACAGGGUCAACAGUCAUGGGCUCACCUCCCUUUGUAGUCUGUCGAAAACUCCAUUACACACCUCCGUACACCUCCUCAGCAUUCCACGUGGCAUCAGGGGCUGCAUCCCUCUCCUAUCACUCUGCCCCAGGGGACAGUCGGGACAACCACAGCUUCACACAUGCUGACCUGUGAAAGCCACGGUUCCUGUAUAUGUAGCUAAAAUGGACGUGAAUGUUCUUUCCCCUUGUUAAAGUUCUCUUCCAUUAAUUUA